rnacentral:lncRNA from 1 species
UACUUGAAGUACAUUUAUACACGUGCUCACUGCUCAAUCAACGACCUCAUCGCCUACCCAUGCACGCACACGCAUGUAGAGAGGACGUCUACUUGAAGUAGUAUGGGAGGUCGAGCACGUAGAGGAGGAAGUAGGCCCAGACCACGCCGGAGAUGCCGCCGAAGAAGAAGCCUCCGGUGAACUUGGCCCAGCCGUCGGCGGUCUGCAGCUUGUCGGCCUCCUUCUUGCGGCCGGUGAGCGUGAGCGUGGGCGCCGUGGACGGGUCGCCCUCGUUGAAGGAGGCGACGCCGUACAUGGUGAGGCAGACGCUGAGGAUGGUGACGAGCCCGGCGGCGCCCAGGGCGCCCGCCUGGCCGUGCACGGGCGUGUUGCGGAGCGGGCCGGUGAGGGCGAAGGGGCCCACGAGGAGGUAGCCGUGCGCAAGCCCGACCUCGAUGCCGCGGAGCAGCGGGCUCACGGCGGUGCGGUAGGCCGGGAGGUUGGAGAGGUACCAGGCGAUGAGCGGGCUGGAGGUGAUGGGCGUCUCCAGGCUGCCGAUGAAGGGGUCGCCGUUGAUGGGCUGCACCACCUGGUACGUUGUCUGCUCAAGAACAACAGACAGUUUCUAUCAUCAGAGCCAAAGAAUUUUGUUUGAUCAUACAAAGAUAUAUAAUUGAAUUGCUAAUGUUCAGAGCAUCAAAUUGUAUAUCCAAUUUCCAGUCCUGUGAGAUAGAUCAAAAUGAAUCACACAAGAUGACUGAACUGAAAUCAAGAUUCUAGCAGCAGCACACAUGCAAAGAACUGAUCGAUUUGGAAGCAUUUUGAAUGAAAUUGAUAAUUCAUGUUGCCUAUAGCCAAGAGCCAAAUCGAUCAAAACUAUAAAAAAGAUGCAUCACUAUUUCGUUGCUCAGUAGAUCCACUGACCUUCUCAGGCUGGAUGGCCUUCACGGUGAAGCGGGGCCGCCUGGUCAGCGCAGCGCCUGAAAGGCCCCUGGGCCUCGAGUGCACCAAGCCGCUCUUCAUCACCUGGCUCGCCAUGGGAGCGUACGCGGUAGCCAUCUCGACCUCUGCCUGUCUCUCACGAACAGGGCUCUUCCUUCCUGCAAAAUGGUAGAAGAGGUCUCCUUGUAUCGGCCCAAUUAAAGUUUGUGAUCUUUAGAUCCUGCAGGGGGUGUGUGAGAAGAUCUGUGGCGUGUUUGGAUGGAUGGGGCCCUGCAGCUGAGAUAUGGCUCAGAGCUGUGUGGCGCUCAUUGGGUGAAAGGAGCGAGCAACCCUAUCCCUUAUCCGAAUGCGUGGAGAUCUCCUCCCUCCACUGGACGCCUAGCUGGCGCCCCCAGCUUGCUGCCACGUGGAAACAGAAUCUGCUGUGCUUGUGACUUGGACUUCGUUUGGAUCGAUACUGAAGCAAUAUUUAUAUCUGCAGAAAGCAGAGCUGUUUGCGUUUUGGUAUUCGACUUGCACUUUCAAGUGACUUUGGGUUAGGGAAGUAAACUAUAAACCUGGGAUUUGAAUCAAACUUCAACAAUACCAGCUCCCAAUAACCAAGAUCCUUCCUGUACAAUAUAACAAAUAUAUUUUGGGACUUUGUCAAUUCGACCUCUGGUUAGCAUAGUACUGCACAAACAAAAUUCAUAUAGAAGGAAACUCUUCCACCAGACUAUGUCAUUCCACAUUGCCUGCGGUGACAAACUGCUUCAGAUGAAAAGAACUAUGCAAUCAAGUAAUGGCUCAGACCAGUGUUCAAUAAAUUUCCGCUUACAAAAGAAUCACUCACAUCGAGGCAUCAAGGCAUAAAAGAAUCAACAAAUGCCCUGUGAAUGGUUUACAACUCUCCAGCAGUUCAUGCUCCAGCAAAACUCAAGGGCCUGGGAGGUCGUUCCCAGUCCCCCAGAUGCUAUCUGACAUCGUACUGUAGGCGCUUGCUUUUCUGAAGACAGUCGUGGUAGCGGUAGAUGAGUCUCAGCAUGCAAUCCCUCAUGCAGGUGACAUCGAAGGAUUCAAUGAACCUCAGGUCUGACAAGCGGGAUUUGCCAGCAGCAUAGCGAUGGUACUCUUCAAAGACAGAUGAUAGGCACCAAUUCUGCAGCUUCCUGAAGCAGCCCACCAGACAUCCAGUGCGGUGCUGGAGUCAUGACAGAGAAAUCAAAUUCAAAGUCAGGACCAAACAAUCAAGAUUUGAGGCAAUGAGAAGAGAAAAUAAAAGAACCAUCAAUUUAGAAUAAAGAAAUGCAUUUAUUGGUACCUUUCCUCUUUUGCAGUGGAUUAAAACUGGGUGAUUCCUAACAUCUGAGAACCAUAAAAGAGAGCGAGUUACUGAUGGGUCAAAAUAGUUCCAUAUGAUCAUUUAACAUUAUUGGUCGACAGCAAAGACAAAUUGGAAAAGAUGGAGCCUAAUUCAGUACCAAGCAAGACCCUAAGAGCCCCCACGAUGGCAUCCACAGGUAUGGACACGUAUGGGUCCUGCAGAUGCAAACAUUUAAAUGUGCUGAACUUGCUGAUAUUGGAAUUCAAAAGAUCAGCAGACAACAAUAGUUGCUUCAAAUGAAAUUAACAGGAAUUAACAAUACAUAGGUCCCAAGUCACAGAUUCGGGUGUAACAACAAGAAUCAAAUAGAAGUCAGACACUGUGUACGCACAAGAAACUGCAUGUCUGUUUUCAGUAAUGCAGUAUCUGAAAGUGUACAAUACCAGAAGAAACAAACUGAUCCUUGACAAGGAAACUGUAUCCAUCUGUACCUGCAACAACUUAUUCAUAACUGUGGAUAAAGGGAGACAGAAUUUUGUAGUAGUCCUGCACUUGGAUACCAUAAUAGGUAAUUUACCAUCCACAUUUGCUUCCAAAUAGGCAAACACCAGAUUAAUGAGCACCUCAAAAACCAGCACAGCGGCAUUCAAACAAUAAAAUUAACAUUCAAUGUAUCAGAAUUUGGAAAUUUAUCUGUUGAUUAUCCACACCACUGCAUCUUUGACAAUUGAUGUUAAGAAAGUCCAAUGGUCUACUUUCCUAAAUUUUAUUAAGGCAAAGUAUUAAAAAUAAGGGAGGCAUCUGAUGCCUGCUCAACUGACAACAAUAAAUACCCUUUCGAAGGUACAUGGAUUCCUUUUACACAGUAAAGAAAAGCUAACUAUAACCACCAUUCAAUGUUCUAAAGCAGUAUACCUUUGGAUCCAUAGAUCUAUCUUAAGAACUACAAAACAUAUAAUAUAAGUGUACCGAUGUAUUUAUCAUCAAGACUGCAUACCUUUUGCAGUUGAAAUAUAAGCACUAAUUAUCAUUACCUCCAAGUUUGCGCUCUAAUUGGACAAUCCAACUUAAAACUAUCCUAUGACUGGAGGAGUGACUACCAAAGCUUCACAUAAUCCCAUCAGAUUUACCAAAGCAAAAAACAAUAGAAAAAACAUAUAGCUGUGCUGAGUUUUCCUUUCCCCCCAAAGAGCACAUUGAAUUCCACUACUGCCAGAGCGCAAUCGAGGUAAUCAAUCAAUUAAGUACUACGAACAACAUAUCAAAUAAACACGCAAUCUCAUAAGAAUCUUAGGGGAAAACGAGACAUAUAAUACACAAGGGAAGAAAAUAGGAAAUCAGACCCACCUUGGUGCCUUCAAUCCCGAACUGGAAGAGGCGGAUCCCCUCGGCCUUGAGGAACGCGGCGUUGGGCUCCGGGUACGGCUCCGGGCACAGGUACCUGCAGCACCGCCGCGUCAGCCACGGAGAUACGACGGCCCAUAUCGCCACCAAACACGACGCAGGAGGGAACCAAACGAACCGAUCGCAUCCAAUCCAAUAAUUCCAAUCUAACAAUUUCGAUUCGAGGUGGGGGGAUUUCGGCGGCUCACACGACGGAUCGGAGGCCGAGCCCCCGGAGGAAGCCGAAGCUGGCGGCGUCGGGGAAGCCCGAGCGGUAGACCCCCGCGUCCACCAUCCCGAAGUUGGCCGGCGGCGCCACCAGGCCCGUCCCCGCCCCCUCCUCGUCGACCUGCUCCAGGAUCAUGCCUGCCUCCUGGCCCGGCACCGGCCGGGGCCCCGCCGAUCCGAGGGCGGGUUCGGCGGCGGCGCCGGAGAUCGCGGGGGACGGGAGCGCGCGAAGGGCGGGCGGCUAAGGGCUAGGGCUGGCUCGGUCUCCGCGAGGUGAGGGACGGAUCGCAACGGUCGGCUCGGUCGCCGUGGGGACGGACGGGCGGGGGCGGGGGUGGGAAUGGAAGGGCCCGUGGGCGAUGGGCUGGGCUGACCCGCCGCCUGCCUCUCGUCACGGCACGGGGGACUGGGGUGGGGUGGGGACGUGGGGUGGGGCGCGCGGCCGCACGGGCCCCUCUUGUACGGGUGGCCGGGUGGGCGGGUCAGUGGGAAAAGGUGACGCCUGACUGCCUGAGUCCUGACGCGGGAGGAAGGCUCCGACACGGUGCGGCGGGGCUCGGUGGCUGGUGGGGUGGUGUCGUCGUCUCGUUGGGAGGAAGGGGAUGCGGUUUCCAGAACCCAGAGGGGGGUUUGGUUUGGUGAGGCGACGCCUGUAGUCUCGUACGGGCAAUGCAAUCGACGAGCGGGGGACGUUAAUUACGAGAAUUAAAUAUAAAUUAAUUAUAAAAUUUAAAUAUAAAUUAAUUAUAAAACUAAUUGUACAAAUGGAGUCUAAUUCGCGAGACAAAUCUAUUAAGACUAAUUAAUCCAUCAUUAGCAAAUAAUUAUUGUAGCACCACAUUAUUAAAUCAUGAACUAAUUAGGUUUAAUAGAUUCAUCUCGCGAAUUAGACUCUAUCUAUGCAAUUAAUUUGUAAUUAGACUAUGUUUAAUACUUUAAUUAGUAUCAAACAUUCGAUGUGAUAUGUGGGCCUGUGCAUUUCGGGCAACCAGGUUAUCAAGCUUUUGUCCGUUUUCUUUUUAUGGAAAAUACUUCCACUACAUUUCAAAAGCACAGCCACGGGUGAUCCAGAAACAGAAGAAAUUGCGUAAACAAAACAUGCAAUUCUAUUUAAAAUAUGCAUAUGAUCAAGUAUACACCACAUGAUUCACAACUGCAAAAUAUCAUAAACCUAGCAAUUUGGUUUUUGAUAGUCUAUUUACACAAACAGAUUUGCCUCUCCUUCAUCCCUUCAAUCAAAAACUGAACAUUCAUGACUCGUGAUUGUGCGGGCAUCUCACAAAAAAAGAACUACCAGCAUAUUAUCAGAGUGCACAUUACUAUACUUCGUACUUGCACAACUGAUGAGCUCCUUUCGUGACCUGCCAUACAGCAAGAAAAAAUGGGACUACAUCAGUUAACAUGGACAUAAUAAAAGGGCAAACAAAUAAAAAUAAGUUGGAUGACCUGAAGAACUAGCAUGUGUAUCCUAAUUAUCAACAGAGGCACUCCAAAUAUAAAAUGUCAUCAGAAAUUGGAUGUUUUGCUUGUUUUGUAGCCAAAAAAAAAAUGCCUAACUAAAAAUAUUACUUUGCCUAACUAAUAAGAGUGUAUUGCCUAGGCACAGUAAGUAAAUGGCAUUUCAAUAAUAAAAUGAUGCAAACCAAUCUGCGACUAUCAAACUGCUGAAUUGAAUAAGAAAAUAAGGACCAAAGAACUGCACAAACAAGCUUAACAGAUAAGCCAAAAUCAAAAUUGCUUCCGAUGUGGUUGAGCAAAAUCAACCAAACCCACAUGCAGAUACAAUUGGAAAUCAACCACAGAUCAAACCGAAAGCAAAUGGCUGCAAGCUGCUAUGGGAACACAGAUCAAAAUGAGAGCAGAGGACAUGCUAAGGAAACAGAUGGGCUACUAAUCAAACAUCGAGCCUUGUACUGCUGGUGCCAAACAGUGCAAGUAUAAAUAACUAAACUACUCCCAAACCACUCCAAUAGUUGUCACAACUAAACUACUUGAAAAGAUAAAUCAGAAAUAUUUCCUUACCCCCACCUUUUACAUCCACAUCAAUAUCCAUUAUCAACCGUAGUUACUCAAGCUAGUCAUCUAGCUAUCCAACUCAGUACCGCAAAAAAGCAAAAUAACAGAUAGGCAAAACUAGUGAUGCUUAUAUGAUAAAAAAUGCAGGAUCUAGCGCAAAUGCUGCCAUGCCAGGAAAAAAGCCUAUAUAUAAUUGAGGGUGAAAAACAUGACAUAUCAUUCCGGUUAAAUAUAUGUGCUUGAAUAUCAGAAUCAGAAUGACACAUCACACAUAUCACAUCCAGUUCUGCAAGUGACUAAGAAUAGGACAAAACACUAGAAACAUGUUUUAUCUAAAUCAGGAUAUGUAAAUUGCUUAUCGGAAGCAUUAAAAUGCUAGAAGGACUAAGAUAAUUGCCAAUGAAAAACAAUUAGCAUACUAAUUUGAACAUAGAAAAUGAAAACCUUUUUGGGGGGCACAUAUGACACUGGAUGAUAGCGCACAUCCAUGUGCAUCUACAGUCCUAUAGGCAUUAUAUCAAAUCUCUGGGAAAAAAAAUCUGUAGUGAAAAUUACCAGAAUAAAAAUUGAGUAUGGUGCUUGGGUUAUAGGUGACAUUUUAGUUCUAGGUUACAUUGUAAAAACAUCAAGUGGUUGUCUAGUGGAUAAAAAGCCAAUAGCACAAAAGCACCAAGCACAAAAUUAAUCAGUAGAAAGCCUGAACAAAAUAGAAUAUCGUGAGAACACUGAAAAUGCUAAUAUCACAACACAAAAACUCAGCUUAAAAACCUAACUUGCAAACUCAUAUCAGAGCAUGAAAUUAAGCAGAUAAAUAAAUCUCCACCACCAAGAAACCAAUACUAAGUUGUUCAUCGGGGUUUAACGAAGUUGAAAGGCAGCGUAAAAGAAAGCUAAUAGACAAAACUCUGCUGACAGAUUUUUUUUACUGCUUCAAGUUUGGUGCUCAAUCUUCUGUCAUCCAAACAAUCACGUUCUAUGCAUGCAUAUUGUAUAUAUUCAAAAAAAUAAUUUACCUGCACAUUUUAGCCCACCAAGCCAUUGCUAUAUCGAGCUAGUAGUACUGUAGUAGUACCAGAAUUUAGUAACUAAUUUCUCAUGUUAAAAUUCUAAGCAUGAAUCUAGAUAUAUUUGAAAAAACUACACCUUUUAUCACAAAAAAACCAUUGCCAUCUCAAGCUAGAAGUAGUAUCUACCAGAAGUUAGUAACUAUCUCAUGUUAAAACUUGUUCGAGCUUAGCAUAAACACUGCAUCAAACAACCAAGACAUGCACACACUUCAGCUAACACCUCUCAAAAUGGUAUAUCAACACAUCUCAUGUCUUACCGCUCUUUGGACUAUUUGUUAAAGAUAAAUAUCAGAAAUGUCAUGAUAAAAAAAUAGUUAAGAAUCAAAGCUGCGACCAAUAUUGCUACCAUACAAUCUCAACUACCUAUUUUUCCCAAUUAUCUCAGUUGAUAUAUUGCUCAGAAAAAUAACCAAACUGUGCGGCAACUGAAUUGUGAACCUACGGACAUGACGUCUGGAGCACAACCGGCAUCCGCACGAAUAAAGUGGUGAUUUGCAGCACGAACUCCCUCCAUGUCAACCACUGUGUCCCAGAGCAGAUCUCGUAGCACCAUGGCAUGCUCGUCUCCACCCUUGGCGCACCUAACAACACCACCAUCAGAAGUUAUAAAACCUGAAACACACCUCAAAAUAGAGGAGAACAGACAUGGGGACUCCAGCAGAGAGUAUGCGCGAGGCGAUGGAAGGUAGAGGACAGGUCCUCACCUUCUCAAGGUACGGAAUC